UCUCCUUGGCCCAAAAUACACCGGAUUUCUUAGAAUGAUAUAAUCCUGGAUCUAUAAUUAUAGGCCUUGCUCUUUGAUGCUCUUUCCAACCAAUAGUACUUGUGUGCUCAAGGAAAUUCAGAUCCCUAGGCAAGUAUGAGAAAAUAUGCAAGAUAUCAUCUUGACGCAUUAGAGGAUAAUCCGACGCGCUCAAAUUAACAAACCAAUCCCAAUCGCCGGCCUGCUUCAACAAAAUCGCAAUCGCAUGAAGCGUGCUAGCAAUCAUAGUUGGUCCUUUAUAAGUCACUAAAUCGGCCUUACCAAUCACCAUCACAUUCCCAAACAACCCAAUCACACCCUCCGAUUUCACAUACUUCGCAAGCUCCAGCCUCUCAGCAUCCGAUGCUUCAAGAUCGAGAUGCAGCAGAUAAUAAUUUCUCGGAUGAUACACCGCCUGAAGAAGUCGCUUCACUCGAGCAUUGUCGCCUUUGGUGCCGGAAAUCAAGUACGCGAAUCUCGGCAGUUUCGGAAGCCCAAAUUGGGCACCGAAAUUCCGAUGAGUAAAGCUAGAUUUCGGUUGAUUCGAAGAAUGACCAGCGAGGAUAGGUGAUUUAGAGUAGGCAAUCGUAAGAAUAAGUAAGAGAGAGGGUACGGCGAGUAUGAUUAAUGGCAUUAGACAUCUUCUUGGAUCCAGAGAGUAAGCUUUCAUCUUCAUUUGAAGAUGAAAGCAACGAAAAAUCGGGGGGCUUGUGAGAGUGGUGUGGUGGUGGGUUUUCGGUUGGUGAAUCCGUGUCGGCUUUGUCGGUUGAAGAUGAGUUCAGGUGGGUGAGGUUGUAGAGGGAAACCCAGAGCGUCUUUGAAUUUUUUUUUUUU
rnacentral:misc_RNA from 1 species